rnacentral:rRNA from 1 species
AUUGAACGCUGGCGACAUGCCUUACACAUGCAAGUCGAACGGCAGCACGGGUGCUUGCACCUGGUGGCGAGUGGCGAACGGGUGAGUAGUACAUCGGAACAUGUCCUGUAGUGGGGGAUAGCCCGGCGAAAGCCGGAUUAAUACCGCAUACGAUCUACGGAUGAAAGCGGGGGACCUUCGGGCCUCGCGCUAUAGGGUUGGCCGAUGGCUGAUUAGCUAGUUGGUGGGGUAAAGGCCUACCAAGGCGACGAUCAGUAGCUGGUCUGAGAGGACGACCAGUCACACUGGGACUGAGACACGGCCCAGACUCCUACGGGAGGCAGCAGUGGGGAAUUUUGGACAAUGGGCGAAAGCCUGAUCCAGCAAUGCCGCGUGUGUGAAGAAGGCCUUCGGGUUGUAAAGCACUUUUGUCCGGAAAGAAAUCCUUGGCCCUAAUACGGUCGGGGGAUGACGGUACCGGAAGAAUAAGCACCGGCUAACUACGUG